GAGUUUGAUCAUGGCUCAGGAUGAACGCCGGCGGUGUGCCUAAUACAUGCAAGUCGUACGCACUGGCCCAACUGAUUGAUGGUGCUUGCACCUGAUCGACGAUGGAUCACCAGUGAGUGGCGGACGGGUGAGUAACACGUAGGUAACCUGCCCUGUACAGGGGGAUAACAAUCAGAAAUGACUGCUAAUACCGCAUAAGACCACAGCACCGCAUGGUGCAGGGGUAAAAACUCCGGUGGUACAGGAUGGACCCGCGUCUGAUUAGCUGGUUGGUGAGGUAACGGCUCACCAAGGCGACGAUCAGUAGCCGGCUUGAGAGAGUGAACGGCCACAUUGGGACUGAGACACGGCCCAAACUCCUACGGGAGGCAGCAGUGGGGAAUAUUGCACAAUGGGGAAACCCUGAUGCAGCAACGCCGCGUGAGUGAAGAGUAUUUCGGUAUGUAAAGCUCUAUCAGCAGGGAAGAAAGUGACGGUACCUGACUAAGAAG
rnacentral:rRNA from 1 species